rnacentral:rRNA from 1 species
UACGGAGGGUGCGAGCGUUAUCCGGAAUUACUGGGUUUAAAGGGUGCGUAGGCGGCCAUGUAAGUCAGGAGUGAAAGUUUGCGGCUCAACCGUAAAAUUGCUUUUGAUACUGCAUGGCUGGAAUCAGGAUGAGGUCAGCGGAAUGUGGCAUGUAGCGGUGAAAUGCAUAGAUAUGCCAUAGAACACCAAUUGCGAAGGCAGCUGGCUAGACCUGUAUUGACGCUGAGGCACGAAGGCCAGGGGAGCAAACGGG